GUCAAGGGUCCAGUUCUGGCUGCAACUGACCCAUUUCAGGGGAAUUCCUGUUCCAAGCACUGUGUCUCCAUUCCAGGGUCGGAUCUUGCAGAAGACUCAACUAGUGACUUUUGUUUUAGCAACUUAAUGACCCUCAACUUAUCCAUGGCUCACAUCAAAAUCCAUAAUUCUGACACCCAAACCUGCUCUCA
rnacentral:lncRNA from 11 species